UAUUAUCACGUCGCUACUGAAAUUUUAAAUUCAAAAAAUAUAAUUUGGAAAAAGUUGUUGGGGAAAAAAAUGUGACUGACACGCUUUAUUUGUGUCGUGAUAAUUACGUCGCAAUUUCCAACGGAUAUAUUGGCUGUAACGUGUUUAUCACGACAGUAUUUUGCAUCGUGAAUAACACGACUGUAAAAGAGCUUUAUAUAAUCAGAUAUGCUAUCUUCCCCAUUUUUCCUCUCCCUCAUUUCUCUUAUUUUCUGCUAUCUUUCAC
rnacentral:lncRNA from 1 species